AAAUAUAAAGUUAUAUCUCCAUAGCACUGAUAACGUGUGGGCUGCUAAUUCAAGCAAUGAACGAACUUCCUGUACAUUUGUUUUAUAUUUAUACAUAGUUUUAUAUUCGUCUGCAUGUGUGUUUGUAUAUUUGUGUAUAUAUGUUUGUGUGUGUGUGUAUGUGAUUGCUUCAUCUCCGUUGAUGAGCCCUUAGAUGACUUUCAGACCGGCUGCUGACUGACAGAUAUUAUUCAAGUUUCUUCUAUAUCUUUACCCUUUGGAAUCUGAUUCUGAAGGAAUGUUUUUGUGAACUAGCAUAUGUCUUUUAAGUCUAGAUAUUGUCUCACAAGUUUUUUGCCAUACGACACAAGUUGUAAGAGGUUGCUGGUGUCCAAGAUCAUUACCUCUCAGAGCAUUAUGAUUUUCAAGUGUCUUCACAUGGUUCACAUAUCCUGCUUUUGGCAACAGAACACGGUCACAACGUUCACUGUUGAUUACAGUUCCAAUUGUUCCUUUGCGACAGACCCUUUUAAGUCCAAAGUGCUGAAUCAUCUUUCCCUCCCAAGCAUUGCAACCAUUCCUAACAGCACCGCUCUAAUUGUUCUAAUCUGGAACAUCAUUUUCCCAAUCACAUUUAUUCAUAUCUAGUUUCUUCAGGUUUUCCUUCACUCAGUCUUUAUACCUUUUCCUUGGCUUAUGUUAUGGUCACUUACCAGAGUUGAGCUCACCAUAAAAAAGACGCUUUGGCAAACACUCGCCUUUCAUUCUAAUAACAUAUCCAGUCCGUCUCAUUUGAGCCAAGAUAACGUGUUGUUCAAUUCAGCUGCAACAUACCAUGUAUAAAACCUCUGUAUGAAACAUUCCCACUUGACUCCCAUGCUGGAGCACCGCCUUUAGUCGAACAAAUUGACCCCAGGACUUAUUCUUUGUAAACCUAGUACUUAUUCUAUCGGACUCUUUUGCCAAAGUGCUAAGUUACAGAGGCAUAAACACACCAACAUCAGUUGUCAAGCGAUGGUGGGGGGACAAACACACACACAUGCACACAUUGAUUUAUACAUAUAUAUGACCGGCUUCUUUCAGUUUUCGUCUACCAACUCCACUCACAAAGCUUUGGUCGGCCCGAUGCUAUAGUAGAAGACACUUACCCAAGGUGCCACACAGUGGGAAUGAACCCGGAACCAUGUAGUUGAAACUCCAAUGUGUGUGAAGAAAGUUCUGACAACAUCACAACAAAUUGGGAGUUAAAACUUGGAGGAGAAGGAUCUCCUGAGAGUGGCUAAGAGGUUAGGAAGCAAUUGGUGGCAAGUAGGCAUUCAAGCUACUGAGCUGAAAAUUGGACUCGAAUGACACUGCAAGACAGGGUUACCUGAUGUUAUAUGAAUGGUUUAAAGGUUGUGAUCCGGAUACACUAAGGGCAGCUCUUGAAGAAGCCGAGUGUUUCACUGCACUUGAAUAUCUAUCAUUAGAUGCAAAGUGAAUAUUGUUGUUUAAUUUCAGGUUAACCUUGACCAAACAAGGGCUUAUGAUCAAAUCCAUUCCAGCCAGGACCAUCUUGUCUUUUUCUUAAGUGUAGACAACUCAGGACUAUAUUGUCCAAUAUGUCCUUCCUUAAAGGGAUAAAGUGUGAAGUGAAGUGGAUUUGGCUAAUUCUAGCAGGUCUAUCUACCAUAUAGAGACCCCUUCAUUGGUUUGGCUCCUUUGUUAGAAAUUAACUUUUGAAAUAAAGAUAAAUUCUGAAAUGUU